rnacentral:rRNA from 1 species
AACGAACGCUGGCGGCAGGCCUAACACAUGCAAGUCGAGCGAGGACUUCGGUCCUAGCGGCGGACGGGUGAGUAACGCGUGGGAACGUGCCCUUUGCUUCGGAAUAGCCCUGGGAAACUGGGAGUAAUACCGGAUGAGCCCUUUGGGGGAAAGAUUUAUCGGCGAAUGAUCGGCCCGCGUUGGAUUAGGUAGUUGGUGGGGUAAUGGCCUACCAAGCCGACGAUCCAUAGCUGGUUUGAGAGGAUGAUCAGCCACACUGGGACUGAGACACGGCCCAGACUCCUACGGGAGGCAGCAGUGGGGAAUCUUAGACAAUGGGGGAAACCCUGAUCUAGCCAUGCCGCGUGAGCGAUGAAGGCCUUAGGGUUGUAAAGCUCUUUCAGCUGGGAAGAUAAUGACGGUACCAGCAGAAGAAGCCCCGGCUAACUCCGUG